GACGAACGCUGGCGGCGUGCUUAACACAUGCAAGUCGAACGGUGAAGCUCCAGCUUGCUGGAGUGGAUCAGUGGCGAACGGGUGAGUAACACGUGAGCAACCUGCCCCUGACUCUGGAAUAAGCGCUGGAAACGGCGUCUAAUACUGGAUACGAGAAGGGUCCGCAUGGGCACUUUCUGGAAAGUUUUUCGGUUGGGGAUGGGCUCGCGGCCUAUCCGCUUGUUGGUGAGGUAAUGGCUCACCAAGGCGACGACGGGUAGCCGGCCUGAGAGGGCGACCGGCCACACUGGGACUGAGACACGGCCCAGACUCCUACGGGAGGCAGCAGUGGGGAAUAUUGCACAAUGGGCGAAAGCCUGAUGCAGCGACGCCGCGUGAGGGAUGACGGCCUUCGGGUUGUAAACCUCUUUCAGCAGGGAAGAAGCGAAAGUGACGGUACCUGCAGAAGAAGCACCGGCUAACUACGUG
rnacentral:rRNA from 1 species